rnacentral:lncRNA from 1 species
ACCUUGAUAUCAAGCUUUUCUGUAUCUUUUUAUCACAACCACCAUCCAUAUUAUUAUGGGUCUUCCCCUCCUUUUCCUAUAUCCUUCGACACAAGUUAAAGUACCUCUCCUUAUCAUAGCUCUAUUAGAUUUUCAUUGUAUGCCAUACCAUCAUAAUCUAUUUCCAUCACUUGGUCCUUAAUUUGUGCAACUCCUAAAAUUCUAACAUAUUAAUUUCUCAAUUGA